AGAGGAUGGAAAGUUAAAGAGCAGCAUGUAGAGCUCACUGACAGCUGGCAGACCACUCCUAUGUUGUCCAUAUUAGGGGAUCGUCAAGUGCCUGGAUGAAACCCCAGGCUCACACUGAACACUGUAUUAUAUCCUUACUGUAUCCAGACAGACUGGGGGCCAAGGAAAAAGUGGCAAUCUCUGCCCCCCUCCCAGACCAGAUGACAUGAUAAAAGGUGCCUCUGAUGCGUGCCCAUAGUUCCAGCCCUGGAUCCUGGUACCUGACAAAUAUCAGGUGGUGUUCAGCAGAGUUUUCAGGAUCUGCAUCAAACUAAAAUGAAUGUUCAUAUGGGAUCCAGAUCUUAAUAGCAAAUGAUGUCAGAACUAAAAUGAGAAUGAACUAUGGCUAAUUCCUCCCCUCUUUCUUGAGCACGAGGGAUGAAUGUUUAAUGUAAAUGGCAAUUGACUCAGACUGCAACUCCCAUCUUUCUCAGCCAUCUGCUUAAAAUCAUGUAAAAGUCUCUACAUUAUAAUCCCUUUUUACAAGAAUAGCAGCAAGUAUCUUAAUGUACAACCAAGUCACUAUUUAAUAGGAAAAAACACAUUCUAAAAGAGAAAUGGAAUUGGACUGAAGCAUAGGUAUUAAUGUUGUGGCUGCACAGCUCAUUCAUCUAUAAUAUAUUGCAUUAUAUGAACACGAUAUAACAUUCUCCACAAGAGCAUUUUAUCUGUUGUCUGUGGCUCUGCACUUUUGGCAGAACUACAACUCUCAAUAUCCUGCAGAAGUUCAGGAGCUGUACCUCCAUUUCACAUUGUUCUAACAUAUGUAAUCUUCUUUGCAGAUCUUGUAGUUUUUCUUAUUAAAAUUGGACAUACUGGUUGUUAAAUACUCCAUCCAGGGGGAAAGCGUAUAAUGUACAUAUAUUCUUUAUUUGAUUCUAAGCUGACAGCUGAGAAUCAUGGGAGGUUUGACAAAUUCUAAGUAUCUACAUUACAAAUCCUCCCUUCCCACUAAAGACAAAAAUAGACCUGUAUCUGAAUGGCUGGGUGUGAUUAUGGAUGAAUCAUAUUUGGGGCAGGAAGGGGGGGGGGGGGUAAGUAUUACAGUUAUUAUUACCAUCAUUAUUACCAUCUGUCUAAACCAUUUAAAAAAUCUUUAUAGUAUAAACUUUUUUUUAUUGCAAUGAGUAACAAGUAUUUUAAAAUGACACAUGCUACACAUACUUAUAUGAGGUCCAAAUACUUAGAUUAAGGUUAGUUUGACAUAGUUAGACAUAGACCUCAUAUAUAAAUGUAAUAUAAAAUGGCUCUAACUGCUCUCCUUUUGUAAUUAUUUUUCUCUUUAGCUAAUGGCAGAUGAGUGGUUACGUCCAGUGAUGUAGAUACCUUUGUGGAGAAAAGCCAAAUCUGCUGCCUUAAGCACAGGAUCGGCCUGUGAGUGCUCACACAGAGCGGAUUGUAGAACAAAAAUGCUUACGUCAGCAUUUUCAUGACAAAAUCCACCAUUUGCCUAAGGCCCAGCAACUCUCCCUUGCCUCCUAGGGAUUAAUAAUUGGAUUUCAAAGCUAAUAAUACAGUGAUCUGCACUUCCAGCUGGCUGAUGGCUGAAGAUGAUGGAAGUUGUUGCUUUUUCCUUUUUUUAACUUCAGGUCUGUGUUCAUAAUCAGUGUCUCAACAGCUUUAUCUGGAAAAAAGCAAGUAUCAGUCUGAAACAUCUGUUUCACAAUAAACUUUUCUGACACUUGAAGAUGCAUUCAUAUUUACACUGUACACUUGAAAGGGAGCAGGGAGUAUAAUUGUGUUUGUAGAGGCAGAGCUGCCUUCAUGGGACAGGAGGAGUCCAGUUAGUGGGCCCCAAAGACACAAAGGUCCAAUUUGCUUGCAGUAAAGAAGUGGGUCUUGUAGGGUGGGAGAGGUUUGUAAGUUAUGGGUGUGACUGAAUGGCUUUAUGAAUAAAAGGUGGGGCAUGGCCAGCCAUGUUUUUAAUUGGGGCCCCAAUCUACUUCAUUUGUAUGGUCUAACACCCAGGUGGUCAGUUGACUACUUAAACUGACCUGCUAUGGGUGAGGGUCCUGGUAAGAAGUAGUGUGGGUCCCCAUGAUUGGAGGUAUUGGUUUUGUUGUCCCAAGGGGUGAUUUACUUCAUGCUGGGGCCAUGGUACCACACCCAGUGAGAUGUACAGUUGCAAAUUAGAUUAGUUAUUUGUGUGAGCAUGGCAAUUGUUCUUUGUUCUCCAUGUGAAUAAUUUAGAGUUGCGUAAAAAGUUUAGAAAUGAUCCGCCCCAUGCCACAGAAGUAGCAAUAAAGCUCCAGCACUGAGCUAAAAAGAAGCCCUAUUCUUCCUGCCUGCCCUAUAGCAGGUGUAAGAACAGGGCUGUCUUGCAUUUGCUACCCCUGUGCUCUACACUAUUCCCCAGACACAAGAGCACUAAAGGGCUGGAUUGUGUGCCCCUAAGUGAUUUAAUACUCAUCUGAAGCAUAACGAAAUUGCUCCCCCCAGACUGCUAAUGCAGUUACUCUGUGCCACACGGAGACCACACAUCUAUACCAUAAUUAUACACAGCAGCAGUGUUUUAUAUUAAGUGCAAAAAGGUGCUCUAUUUAGUCAUUCAAAGGUAUCUAAACUGUCCUGGCUCCUCUCAAUACUGGGCUGUAAAAUCAGAGUGCUUGGCAGGUACCUAAACUAGCAUCCCAUUGCCAUUUAUUUAUACAGUUCCAACAAGUUAUGUAGCACUUUUCAACAAUUUAAAAACAGAUUACAAAGGGUCCUGCUUAAAGAGAAUUUACAAUCUGAAAUCACAGUAAAAUCAGAUACAGUACAAUGAUUUGUUACCUUAUCAGAGUAAGGUUUCUCUCAGGUAUUACAUGGGCUUUGUAUUCCAGUGUCAGAAGACAUGUGCAGUCAUCCACAGCAUUCCUAGGACAGUAUUUGCAAGUGUACCCCAAAUCCUACAACACUAGAGAGUACAUGCCCUGUUGGUGGGCUCAGAACUAGCUCCACAACCACUUAUAGAAACAAUGGCAGACUGUAAUUCUAAAGAGGGGUUUGCAUGUGUUAGCACUACAGCUCCAAAGACCAAUGCUUAGUGUCUUUAGAAAAGGGUCUAUUGAAAUUUUCAAUCAGUGCACCUGAGCACACAGCUGAGGCACAUUUAGCUUAGUGGAUUUUAAAAACAAAUAUGAGCCCCUUUUUACCAAGCUAGGAUAGAAAAAAACCUUUUUUAAAUGACUGGUUUACCUUUUAUUAGGGGUGGGUUGUUAAAUCCUUGAAAAAUCAGGGGACAUAUUCAGAUGUAAGAACCCGGGCAAUAACAAAGAGACAUGUCUCUGUGUAUUUCUUUUUUUCUCCCAACAAAACUAGUUCAGAGGAAUGUGUUUCUGGGUUUCACUGCAUAGGCAUGAUUUAAUGUUUUGUUACCCUUUGCUUUGAAUCAAAAUGUAAAUGCAGUGAAGGCAAUACUACAGAAGCUACUUGGAGAUAUA